GAUGAACGCUGGCGGCGUGCCUAAUACAUGCAAGUCGAGCGAAUGGAUUAAGAGCUUGCUCUUAUGAAGUUAGCGGCGGACGGGUGAGUAACACGUGGGUAACCUGCCCAUAAGACUGGGAUAACUCCGGGAAACCGGGGCUAAUACCGGAUAAUAUUUUGAACUGCAUGGUUCAAAAUUGAAAGGCGGCUUCGGCUGUCACUUAUGGAUGGACCCGCGUCGCAUUAGCUAGUUGGUGAGGUAACGGCUCACCAAGGCAACGAUGCGUAGCCGACCUGGGAGGGUGAUCGGACCCACUGGGACUGAGAACCGGCCCAGACUCCUACGGGAGGCAGCAGUAGGGAAUCUUCCGCAAUGGACGAAAGACUGACGGAGCAACGCCGCGUGAGUGAUGAAGGCUUUCGGGUCGUAAAACUCUGUUGUUAGGGAAGAACAAGUGCUAGUUGAAUAAGCUGGCACCUUGACGGUACCUAACCAGAAAGCCACGGCUAACUACGUGCCAGCCGCCGCCGUAA
rnacentral:rRNA from 1 species